rnacentral:rRNA from 1 species
GAUGAACGCUGGCGGCGUGCCUAAUACAUGCAAGUCGAGCGAACAGAUAAGGAUCUUGCUCCUUUGACGUUAGCGGCGGACGGGUGAGUAACACGUGGGUAACCUACCUAUAAGACUGGGAUAACUUCGGGAAACCGGAGCUAAUACCGGAUAAUAUUUCGAACCGCAUGGUUCGAUAGUGGAAGAUGGUUUUGCUCUCACUUAUAGAUGGACCCGCGCCGUAUUAGCUAGUUGGUAAGGUAACGGCUUACCAAGGCGACGAUACGUAGCCGACCUGAGAGGGUGAUCGGCCACACUGGAACUGAGACACGGUCCAGACUCCUACGGGAGGCAGCAGUAGGGAAUCUUCCGCAAUGGGCGAAAGCCUGACGGAGCAACGCCGCGUGAGUGAGGAAGGUCUUCGGAUCGUAAAACUCUGUUAUUAGGGAAGAACAUACGUGUAAGUAACUGUGAACGUCUUGACGGUACCUAAUCAGAAAGCCACGGCUAACUACGUG